AUGAAUUGGAGCUGGAUCUGUCUCUUCCUCCUGUCAGUAAUUACAGGUGUGCACUCUCAGGUUCAACUGCAGCAGUCUGAGGCUGAGUUGGUGAGGCCUGGGGCUUCAGUGAAGAUGUCCUGCAAGGCCUCUGGCUAUACCUUCACUGACUAUAUUAUGCACUGGCUGAAGCAGAAGCCUGGACAGGGCCUGGAAUGGAUUGGAGCUAUUAAUACUGGAAGUGGUGGUACUAUCUACAAUGAGAAGUUCAAGGGCAAGGCCACCUUGACUGCAGACACAUCCUCUAACACAGCCUACUUGCAGCUCAGUAGCCUGACAUCUGAGGAUUCUGAGGUCUAUUACUGUGCAAGACACAGUGUUUUAGCAAACUUUUAUGGGGAUCAGAUAUGA